rnacentral:rRNA from 1 species
AGCUGCAGAAGAAGCACCGGCUAACUCCGUGCCAGCAGCCGCGGUAAUACGGAGGGUGCGAGCGUUAAUCGGAAUUACUGGGCGUAAAGCGCAUGCAGGUGGUUUGUUAAGUUCAGAUGUGAAAGCCCGGGGCGUCAACCUCGGAAUAGCAUUUGUAAACUAGGCAGACUAGAGUACUGUAGAGGGGGGUAGGAAUUUCAGGUGUAGCGGUGAAAUAGCGUAGAGAUCUGAAGGAAUACCGGUGGCGAAGGCGGCCCCCUCGGACAGAUACUGACACUCAGAUGCGAAAGCGUGGGGAGCAAACAGGAUUAGAUACCCUGGUAG